CGGAUUCGACGGGUUAGCCUGAGGUGCUGGAUAAGCAUGCAGUGCGUUCGUGUGGUGUGCACUUAAAACAAGCCGCUCAGCCAUUAACUGGCAACAACAAUUACGCGCUGGCUGCCUAAUCAUUCUCUGAUUAGUUAGUUCAGUUGUCGCUCGGCUCGGCUGCCCAUUGCCUGGCCCCUGCGGCAUCAUCCAAUAAUGGGACCGGUCGGUGGCGCCUGGAAGCCGACUUAAACUUACAGGCUGGUAGCAGGGGUAUUUGGUCCGUUUUGAGCCCCCGCUGCGAGACCCCCCAAAGCGGAAUAAGCAUGUAGAAACCGGUAUCGCAUCUUUCACCGGACGCGGGUUCAACUCCC
rnacentral:tmRNA from 1 species